AUGCUUCCUCGAUUCUUGCUGUUGAUGCCGCUGCGUGUCCAAAGUCCAAACUCCGUAAAUAGCACGAACGUGGCGACAGGAUUGCGUUCGCUGCGGUCCUCCAAGAUGUUCGUAGCCUUGCUCAGCGCGAAGCUCUGGCCUGCUCCUACCCCUGCACGGCGACGCACACCGCCAGUCGAUCCAGUGUGUCACGCCGACCGCUGCUCCUGCAUCAGCUCUGGCCUUAUCCUACCCUGGGCGGCGACGCACACCGCCAGUCGGUCCACAAUCUGCCACGCCGACCGCUGCCCCUGCAUUGACAUCCACCACAGGGCCACAGGGGCAUUUGGCGGCAUCGGAGAAGGCCACGAUGGGGGGCUGGUCAGCCGGACCCGGGCCUGGAGGUGGCCUACGAUGCGCGAGGCACGGCCGGUGGCGAAGUGGAUUGUGUAUGUCGCCAGAAUUAUAGCAGACGAAUGCAGCGACGGUUACGUAAGAGGUGCUGGUGUAGCGGAGGAAUAG
rnacentral:rRNA from 1 species